UUUUCAACUUACCAGCAGAAAAACUACAUAGUAAGGGGAUUUUAAUUGAACAAGCAACUGUAUCUCAGAGAGAUGUGCAAGGCCAUCGUUAUAAUUUAUUGGUGUUGAUUCCAGUACUUACGGGAAGAGGUUUUGGCCAAAAAUGACAUACCUACUGGAAGAAUGGCCCUUUUGCAAGCUCUCGGCUUCCGGAACAGCAGGACUCGCCACCCAGCCAAGAGACAAGCCACCCCAACUCCUUUAAGACGACCAGGACAUACUUGAUCACAAUCAAAGGAUGUGCUUUCCAGCUCCAGUCAAAGACUCCCGAGCCAACUGCUAUUCACUGAGAAGGCAGGAGAAACGGGUUGAGAGGGAUAAUAAAUCAGCCAUGGUGGAAUGGUGGAGCAGACUCGAUGGGCAGAAUGGCCUAGUUCUGCUUCUAUGUCUAAUGGUCUUAUGGACUCCAAGUGUGACCAACAAAACCUGAAACAUCUGUGAGAAGAGUUAUUGAAGCAUUCCAUACCUGGCUACAACGAGAAUUGAAUGACCUUCAGGCAUUGGCUGCAAGAUGGCAAGCAGCAUUUUGACUUCCUAAGUCCUGGGCAAUGACCAUUUCUACCAAGAAUGACCACCUCUAUUUCACGUUCAAUAAUAAUACUACCUUCAGGUUCUGACCAUUACUAUCAGUGACCAAGGCUCAAUUAUGACAGCCAAAUGAACAAAUAGUUGACCUGAAUGAUUCACCUUCUGAUUGCUCAAGACCUUCCUGUGACAUACUUACACAAGCAGAAAUCUGGUGUGUUUUUCAUCUCCAGUUUUGUAUGAAUUGUUGCUAAUGCAGUUAAGCGUUAAGUUACAUAGAGCAUUGAAGAGUAUUGUCCAACUUCUCCUUAUAGUUAAUACAUUCUAAUCGGAGCAGCAUCCUGGUAAGCCAUUUCUGCAUGAUUUCCAAAGCAUCCACAUCCUUCCUGUAGUGGGGCAACUGGAGCUCUUCUGUAUUGAGAAGUCCAGGCACUAUGAUUGGAACAGCACCAGCUACAUCUGAGAAUAAGAUGGUAGCCAUGUGGCAGCAGCCUCACCAUGGUCAAGCUCUCUUUCAUCCUGAUCUCAGGUGAUCUGGGGUGUUACGUGCACCAAGUCUCCACUGACUACUGCCUUAUCCAAUGUAUUUCUGAUGUGGGCUUCAGCCUCACUCUGUCACUGAUGCUCAGUUAACAGCAAGUCUUGGGCACCUCUGGAUUGAUUUAAAUUACCUGCCUUCAGGGUUGUGCUGUGUAUGGCUUUAUCUAUCUGAACUAUCGGUUUUGCAUUGUGUCCGGGUGUAAAAGUGACAUUUUUCUGGUCAAUGACAAGUAACUUCACUUCAUAUCUCUAUUGACUCUUUUGACUCAUCAUCAUCAGGAAGUACUGCCAAGCCAGCUUCCGUGUAGUUUUGUACAUUAAUAACACAUGACUUGCUGGUUUUAACUGCAUCAACAUGAGGAUCAUGACUUACCUGAAGAGGACAUUACACAUUAUUUCAUGUUGUCCCUAGUCAAGCUGAUAGAUGCCCUUGCAACAACAUCUUGCUCUAGGUCUAUCCAGGUGAGCUUUAUAUGGGGUUGACACUGACUGGCACGGUGCACUUGUUAUUCUGAACCUGAGCCUGCCUCUCUCUCUCUCUCUCUGAAUUGAUGACCUUAUCCAUUCCCUGGACUUGCAAUAUCCUCGCCAUCGUGCAUGCUUUGUGGAAAUUAUAUUUCAAUCUGCAAUUUCCGUACGCUUUUCAGACAGUCGUGUUGCUGUCCUCAAUGUUUGAAACAUCUAAGCUGCAAUACAACAGAAAGUACUAGAAGCAAUCAUCAGGUCACACGGCGUCUGUGGAAAGAGAAACAGAGUCUCUUUCCCAGGUUUGAUGAAAGACUUUGGAUCUGAAACAUCUGUUUUUCUUUCCACUGGUGCCCUGUCGAGCAUCUGCAGCAUUUCAGAACAAAACUAAUUGACUAUUUCAGGCAUCUACAGUUGUUUUGAUUUUCAAUUCCUUUUUUCACUUUUUGUUUCAUACUUUGCUUCCUCCUGCUAAUAAUCAGCAUACCCAGCCUGCCUUUGGACAGCUCCUCACUCCUGUGGAGCAUUUAUCUGGAGUUACCUUUGACUCAGAGAAUCAAUGAUCCCUCAAAGUGAACUUAGAGUCAUCACAAAGGUCAAUCUCUUCAGAUCAGUGAACCCAUCUAACUGCUGGCAACCAUUAAUAAGCUAUCAAAGAUUUCUCCCUGGAAGAACUAUUAAUAAUCAACUGCUUUUUUUUUUCAAAGCACGUUGUGCUGUCCUGGCAUCAAAUGCCUUCUUUGGUUCUUCAUUUGUGGGAUUUAUGCUACAGUACAAUUCUCUGACAUGGUGGCCAAUGUGAUGUAAUUGGUAAACAAGAGAAAAUCUGCAGAUGCUGGA